UUAUGUGAUCGUCUCUCGCAUAUCAAUAAGCGGAGGAAAAGAAACUAACAAGGAUUCCCCUAGUAACGGCGAGUGAAGCGGGAAGAGCUCAAAUUUGAAAUCUUAAAGGGUUUCCCUUUACGAAUUGUAGUUUAAAGAAGUGUUUUCUGUUGAGGUUUUGGUAAAAGUUCUUUGGAAUAGGACAUCAUAGAGGGUGAGAAUCCCGUAUUUGACCUUUACUUUCAACUUUGUGAUACACUUUCGAAGAGUCGGAUUGUUUGGGAAUGCAGUCCAAAAUGGGUGGUAAAUUUCAUCUAAAGCUAAAUAUUGGCGAGAGACCGAUAGCGAACAAGUACCGUGAGGGAAAGAUGAAAAGAACUUUGAAAAGAGAGUUAAACAGUACGUGAAAUUGUCAAAAGGGAAGCGUUUGACACCAGUGUUGUUUUUCUGAAAAUCAAUUAAAGAACUGUUUAUGCUAAGUUGUUUAGACUUUAUCAGCUAACUGUUUAGUUUUGAGCUUUUCUUUAAUGCACUUUUCAGUUAACAAGUCAACAUCAAUUUCUUUUGCUGUAAAAAAGCUUGAGGAAGGUGGCUUGAGAUUCGUCUUAAGUGUUUAUAGCCUCUUGCCUAUGCAGUCGGAGAGAUUGAGGUCUGCAGCGUAGAUCCUUCGGGGCUAAAUGCAUUUGUGCUAAGUUAUAGCAUUUUAUAGACAACUUGUUGACUAUGAUUUGUCUUGUAGCUUACUCGCUUAUGUUAUUUUACCUACGCUUAGGAUGUUGACACACGCGCGUGCUCGACUCUAUACAUGACUCUGUGCAUAUCAAUAAGCGGAGGAAAAGGAAUAUCAUUACAGCGAAAUGAAACUACCUACGCUUAGGAUGUUGAACGCGCACAGAGUCUC
rnacentral:rRNA from 1 species